rnacentral:rRNA from 1 species
AUUGAACGCUGGCGGCAUGCCUUACACAUGCAAGUCGAACGGCAGCACGGGUGCUUGCACCUGGUGGCGAGUGGCGAACGGGUGAGUAAUACAUCGGAACAUGUCCUGUAGUGGGGGAUAGCCCGGCGAAAGCCGGAUUAAUACCGCAUACGAUCUCCGGAUGAAAGCGGGGGACCUUCGGGCCUCGCGCUAUAGGGUUGGCCGAUAGCUGAUUAGCUAGUUGGUGGGGUAAAGGCCUACCAAGGCGACGAUCAGUAGCUGGUCUGAGAGGACGACCAGCCACACUGGGACUGAGACACGGCCCAGACUCCUACGGGAGGCAGCAGUGGGGAAUUUUGGACAAUGGGCGAAAGCCUGAUCCAGCAAUGCCGCGUGUGUGAAGAAGGCCUUCGGGUUGUAAAGCACUUUUGUCCGGAAAGAAAUCCUUGGCUCUAAUACAGUCGGGGGAUGACGGUACCGGAAGAAUAAGCACCGGCUAACUACGUG